rnacentral:rRNA from 1 species
UUGGAGGGCAAGUCUGGUGCCAGCAGCCGCGGUAAUUCCAGCUCCAAUAGCGUAUAUUAAAGUUGUUGCAGUUAAAAAGCUCGUAGUUGAAUUUCGGGGUCAGUAGGUUGGUCAUGCCACUGGUAUGUACUGGUCUCACUGAUUCCUCCUUCCUGAUGAGCUGUAAUGCCAUUAAUUUGGUGUUGCGGGGAAUCUGGACUGUUACUUUGAAAAAAUUAGAGUGUUUAAAGCAGGCUAACGCCUGAAUACAUUAGCAUGGAAUAAUGAAAUAGGACGUUCGAUCCUAUUUUGUUGGUUUCUAGGAUUGACGUAAUGAUUAAUAGGGAUAGUUGGGGGCAUUAGUAUUCAAUUGUCAGAGGUGAAAUUCUUGGAUUUAUUGAAGACUAACUAUUGCGAAAGCAUUUGCCCAGGAUGUUUUCAUUAAUCAAGAACGAAAGUUAGGGGAUCGAAGACGAUCAGAUACCGUCGUAGUCUUAACCAUAAACUAUGCCGACUAGGGAUCGGAUGAUGUUAAUUUUUUAAUGACUCGUUCGGCGCCUUACGGGAAAC